CUAAGAAUCCUACAUUUGAACCUGGACUUCCAAGUUGUUAUGAAGGUGUAUUUACCAAGGUGCCUUUACAGCUGUGAAGUCAGAGAAUGAAACAUUUUGUGGGUGAUGACUUGUAGUUCUGUGCUUCCUUUUUAUCUGGCCCAAGUUUUCAAUCAAAGGAUCAAAAAACAAGCUUCAAGGGAAAGAAGAACCUGUGUUUGUUUUAGCUCUUCUUUCCAAAAGAGUUGGAGAAAGAAGCAGUACUUCUUUAUCGCACAGAAAACCAAAUAGCACAGUAUAUCCUGAAAGAAACUUGCCACUUCAGAGGAUUUGCUGCCACCGAUGUCACUUGCUAUUAGUAGUGAGUUGACUUUGCAUUCUCUGAGGCUCAGAUUCCCAC